CCUACGGGAGGCAGCAGUGGGGAAUCUUGCGCAAUGGGCGAAAGCCUGACGCAGCAACGCCGCGUGCGGGAAGAAGGCUUUCGGGCUGUAAACCGCUUUCAGCAGGAACGAAAAUGACGGUACCUGCAGAAGAAGGAGCGGCCAACUAUGUGCCAGCAGCCGCGGUGAUACAUAGGCUUCAAGCGUUGUCCGGAUUUAUUGGGCGUAAAGAGUUCGUAGGCGGUCAAGUAAGUCGGGUGUGAAAAUUCUGGGCUCAACCCAGAGACGCCACCCGAUACUGCUUAACUUGAGUUCGAUAGGGGAGUGGGGAAUUCCUAGUGUAGCGGUGAAAUGCGCAGAUAUUAGGAGGAACACCGGUGGCGAAGGCGCCACUCUGGAUCGAUACUGACGCUGAGGAACGAAAGCAUGGGUAGCAAACAGGAUUAGAUACCCUGGUAGUCCAUGCCGUAAACGGUGGGCACUAGGUGUGGGUUUCUAUUAACGAAAUCCGCGCCGUCGCUAACGCAUUAAGUGCCCCGCCUGGGGAGUACGGUCGCAAGACUAAAACUUAACGAAAGUAGUACGGCGUGAGACGAGCGACGACGACGACGAGGAGGAGG
rnacentral:rRNA from 1 species